rnacentral:misc_RNA from 1 species
AGAAUGUCAAAUAUUUUUAGGUCAAUCAUCUUCGCGGCCAUCGUUCUGAGUUAUCGACAAAUUUAAGCUAUCAUUAAAAUUCAAUUAUUUGUGUUCAACACCCGAAAAACCCUUCAAAAUAUCCAGAAACAGUAUCCGCCUGUUUAGGAGAACUAUGGCUCCACAUAAGGAGUGGGACCUCUUUUGCAAAGUGUACGUCGGAAAUCUCGGUUCGUCAGCGAGCAAACAUGAAAUAGAAAACUCUUUCGGGAAAUAUGGACCGUUGAGAAACGUUUGGGUGGCAAGAAAUCCUCCGGGCUUUGCUUUUGUGGAGUUCGAAGACCCCAGAGACGCUGAAGAUGCCGUUAGAGGCUUGGAUGGCACACGUUGUUGUGGCUCUAGAGUCAGAGUAGAAAUGUCAAGUGGGCGUUCCAGAAGAGGAGGAGGUGGUGGUGGAGGUAGAAGAGGACCUUCCAGAUAUUCCAGGUCGAGGUCACCAAAACGGUCGAGGUCACCGAAACGGUCGAGGUCUCGUUCUAGAAGCCGAGAUUCCAGAGCACGAUCUGAUUCAAGAGACAGGCGCUAGUGCAUUUCGAUUUAAGUAUUACACUUUAAGUUAAGCAGAAGAUAUUUCUGAAUAGAUAUAUUCCCAUUAACUUCUACACAUUUACACAUUUAUUCAUCUCUACUUUUAUUUUCCUAUUAUGAUUUUAUAAUUAAUAUAAAUAAAGAAUAUUAUCCCUUA